AGUUUGGCCCUCAGCAUUGCCAGAAGGAGCACGUGAUGUGCCUGCAUAGUUGUGGAGAUUCCCUUUUCACAGCACAGGGAAGAAGGUAUGAAAAGCCAACAAGUGGAAAUGACUUUGCACCUCUCAUCUGGUGAUCUUGGAGCAGUUAUAAUAAUCAAAUCUCCUUCCCAAAGCAGAAACGGUGAAUGCAGACCCAGCCCUGAAGUGCUUUACAGUCUUUAGAGCCAUGUUGGAUGAACUGGAAAGAAAUGCUGAGAGGAACCAAAUUUCCUAAGGAUAGAUGCAUAUUUCACCCUGCUGGAUGGAGAAGCCUGUUCAUCUUCCUUUCCAAAGGGACAACAGCGACGCUUCAGCGUGCAGCACACUGCGUGGGGAAACCGGAGACAGCAGCAAGGCAUCUUGAUGUUAUGCCUGGCAAAGUGAUGUGCAGUUUUGCCCUUGUGUGGCGCUGGUUUCCAUCUUGGCCAUCUUUCCCCUGCUUUGUAGAUUCAUGUUUGCUAAGCAUUCCCUAGCCUGGCAGGCACUGCUUAUAUAUGACUCUGCAAGAGCCUAACCCUGCCUGCCUGCCUUGGGGUAGGUGUGCAUGGUGGUUGGAGAGUUCAUUGCAACAUGGGUAGACAUGGCUGAAGUGAUGGGUAGCUACUUUAGGUGAUAGCAGUGAAGCCAACAUGACAUCAGGAAUGUUUCAGCCAUCAAGAAUGUACUCGGGGUCGCAUGGAGGGAGUUGUGCUUUCACUGCAGUUGGUACCCAGGCUGUUUAGAUGGAAGGUAGUGCAGGUAUGCCCGCACCUGACUGCAGCACAUCUUCUCUAAGAGGCUUGCACCCAGACCACAGAGCUCCUUAUUCCAGGUACUUAAGUUGUGUGCCUAAGUACCUUUGUGGAUCUGGGCCUAGAAUAUCUAAAACUCAGGUACCCCAUUGAUUUCACUGAUAAAUUGGUUCUCAUCAUGCAUGCGUCAAGCAGGACUGCAGUCUUCAUGCCGGGUGAAAUGACUGUAGGCCAUUCGUGGCCAGGCACGGCUCUGUUCUGUCUGUGUGGUUGCACACCUGGGCUGGAGCACCUACGGCGGUGUCCGAACUGUGCCAGAUGGCGUGAGGUUGGCACGCGCACAGUCAGGUUGGCCCAAGGAACUGCGGGAACCUGAAAUAUGUUUGGUGAGGAAGGAGGCUUGGGAAAUAUUAGCAGCUAAAAUAUCUACUGAGCAUGUGUGAACUAUGAUGGGUUUUUUUUUCCUCCCACCCCACCAACAACACACACUCAAUAGCUUAAACUCCCUUUGACAUUCGAAUGGAUUGACUGAGACCGCAACAGGCACAUCUCUGUUAGAAAAACCUGCUCUGUUUCAGGUCUACGCUCAAAGCAGGGUGGCGCCAGAGUUUUUCCACAGAAAAGAUCCCUGCGAUGAUUUAAACUAAAUCUUUUUCCCGAUGCUGGGAGGGAAGGCAGCGAAAAACAUUAGCGCUGAAGUUUGCCAGGAAAACCUUGAAGCCUUCAGUAGACCCCCUACAUGGAUGAUAUUGGCCCAGAUGGCUCAAUUUUGGCUAAGUUUCUAAGCAACUAAAAAUGGAGUUUUAUUCGGGGGAGUGCUAAGCAUCCAUAAUAGGUGGCAUUACUAGCUCUGCUAGUAAUAGAGUGUGGAUGGUGCUACAGAUGUUCAGAAACACGGUUGUGUUCCUUCUGUUGAGGAAUAGUUGGGCAAUUAGCCACAUCCCUGCUGCCGUUAGUUAGCUCUGUGUGCGUAUAAAUACCAGCAAAGCUUUGGGAGAAGUCCAUCAAAUUGAUUAAAUUUGCCAUUUGUUUGGCAUGCUCUGAAAUUACUUCCAGUCCACCACCUCCCCACCCCCCACCUUCCUUGAUCAUAUUCCUGCUCUGUGUGGCCUUAAACAGGGACUGAGCUGGGUGCUUCCUUCCAGAUGAAAUGGGCUGGAAGAACUAGCUGUUGCGAAUAUGCACUUUGUCACUGGAGCUCAUCAUCAGCAUAUUUGUUCUGUCUGCUGCCAUGUGUAAAAUAACAACUGUACUCAGCAGAAACUGCUCGAGCCCAUUAAAGACAGAAAAUUGACACAGGGAUAUAAUAAAAAAAUGGGAAAUGUCAGACAUUUCUGCCUCAAUUUCAGGCUAAUUAGCUCGAACGUGAAGCUAGGCUUGCAGAUCUCUAAUACAAAUGGAGUUGAGGCGUGGUAUGAUAUGGAGGGAUAAAACAGAAGCGUGACAGGUUAAUCUCUGCACACUUCAUGCACUGCAAAAUGUGAGGAUGGACACCCGCAGCCCAGGCGGCUGAAUGGCUUUCUGGUAGCCGUAUUAGAGCAGAGGAAUUAUAUGUCAGAUGCAUAUGCAAACACACACACAUUAUCCUGCCAGACUAUGGGAAUACGAGUUCAUGCCAUCCACUUCAUGAUUAUUUACUCAUAUUAUGCAGAACAGUUGCAGGCUUCAAUGAGCUCGCUAAAUAUUUAUACAGUGACAGUGAAAAUCAAAGGCAUAGGAAGGAGUGAUUCAUGCCAUAGAACCCUGGUGGUUUUCAAAAUGGGGUUUACUGACUCGCCGUAACAGUAAUAAAGGGCACGUGGCUCACAUGUUAUAUGUAGAAUCCAAGGUUUCAAAGCCUUUUAGAAAAGUGUGUGUGUUUGGGAGGGUAAGGGGGCGGGGGUAAGACAUGCCAUUGGCCCCAUUUUUGCAGAUAAGAAAACUGAGACCCAAAGGAGCUAGGUGCAUUGCAGUCUUUCCAACUAGAGUAUCUAAAACUCAGGUACCCCACAAAUCAGUGAUCCAAUCUAGGGGAGAACCAGUGAAGCCAGGUCCUCUGCCACCA